GUACAACUAAGUAGGCUGGUAGUAUGAUAAGUAACAAUCUGAAUGACCUGUACCUACACAGGAAGGGGGUAAAUUCCAAGCAAGCCUGAAUGAAAAAUGCAACUCAUUUUCCAUAACCCAGAUGUCAUUUUAACACAUCUAUGUAGGCUCCAUCUAAAACCAGGUGCUGCUCCCAAAGGAGAAAAUACUGCCCUCCAGUGGUCCUCGAUGGAGAAAUGGAAAUAGUUUCAGGUGGAAACCAGGCUUCUUGGAAGACUUCAAACUAUGCCAAAUGGUCUGAUUUUACCAUAGAGAUUCUUUGCUGAGCAAUGCAGCUGUAUGAGAGGAAGAAAGUCAAAGUAUAACUACUUAUCAUUUAACAAGCAUUUGAAAGGUUUGUAAAAAAUAGUGCAUUAUGGAUUUAAGUUGUUUCAACGCAAGUUCUUGCCUUUCACUCCCACCAUGUGGCUUACACUGGUAUUACAUUUAUUCUGACAUUUCAAAAUCAACAUUAAUAAACAUGUUGUAAUAAU